UUUUUUUGCUUUCUCAUCUUUGACCUUUGAUUGAACUGUCUUGUGUUUUUUUUCUUUCCUCCUGCAGAAUAAUUCCCUAAAGAGACUUUCUCUUUUCUGACACUUACAGGACAGCAGCAGCCGCCUCCCCAUCCCCAUCUACUAUGGUGCCCUCCAGUACAGAGAGACAGGAACGAUGGUGAGGGCUGGGGGUGGGGGAAGCAGCAGAGAGGCAAGGGGCUCCCAGAAGAUGACAGAGUCAGAGAAGAGGCAUUCCUGGGAUGCACAUCUCCCCUCAUUUCCUUCCAGAUCUGUCCAUGAACCCUAAGUCAGUCUAACCAGAUCUUUUGGGGACUUUCAAAGAAUCCAAGAUUUUGGGAGGCACCUUAGAGAUCAAGUACUGUGGUGGGCAGUUCCUACAAUGGCUCCCAGCCAUCUCCACUCCUGAUAUUCACACCCACAUGUAAAUAUCUCUCCUUGAGUAUGAACUUGGCCUAGUGACUUAACUUCUAAUGAAUGGAAUAGGCACAAGUGAUGGGAUGUCACUUCCAAGAUGAGGUUACCAAAGACUGGGACUUCUGUCUUUCAGGUGCUCUCUUGUUCUCUCUCCUCUGCUCACGGUAAGGAAGCCAGCUGUCAUAUUGGAAGCUGCCCUGUGGAAAAGUCCAUGUCUACAGUGUGGUCUCUGGCCAAUAGACCAGCCAGACCAAGGGUGUGGUAUUCCCAACAGACCAGCCAGGGAGGAAACUGAAUCCUGUAUAUAGCCACCUGGGACGUAGAGCUAUCCACAGUCAAGCCCUGAGAUGGCUGCAGCCUUAGAUGGCACCUUGACCACAGCCUGUGAAAACCCAUCUAAGCCAUGACCAGAUUCCUGAUCCACAGAAUCUGUGAGAUAAGUGUGGCUGUCUCAAGCUGAUAUGUUCUGGGGUAACUUGUUACAGAGCAGUAGAUAGAUGCAAGUACAAACCCUCCAUUUUCACAGAAAACAACCAAGGCCAGAGAUGGAAAGUAAGCUGCCUAAGGUCACACAGCAAUUGAGGAGCACAGUAAGAACUAUAAUACAGGUGUCUUGUUCCCUAGUGCUGAGCUCUGUCCGUUAUACUUGGGGAUAUAGAGGCAACAUGUCAC
rnacentral:lncRNA from 1 species